CCUUGCCCAUCACCGACAUUUUGGUGGAUUUAUAGUUUUCCCCUAUGAUUUUUCAAUUUCUCUAACUUCUAACCCAAAUCCUCUCUCCCUAAACUUGCUUCUUUGUGUUGUUUACAUUUUUUUUCGCUUUCUUAUGUAUUGCAUGCAAGCAGAGCCUCUUCACCUACCUCUUUGAUUAUGGUAGCUUCCUCACUAGGGCGGCGGCGCUAGGUGCUAUCCCUGAG
rnacentral:lncRNA from 1 species